UUACGGCCAAAUCACGGUGAGACACCGGUUCUCGUACAAUCACCAAAGUUAAGCAACGUCGAGUCUGGUUUGUUCCUAGGUGAGUGACAAUUUGGGAAUACUAGGUACUGCAAG